UUCCACGUGAUCCGUGACGAAGUUAACACAUUAAGCACCCCGCCUGGGGAGUACGGUCGCAAGACUAAAACUCAAAGGAAUUGACGGGGGCCCGCACAAGCGGCGGAGCAUGCGGAUUAAUUCGAUGCAACGCGAAGAACCUUACCAAGGCUUGACAUAUAGAGGAAAAGCGUAGAAAUACGCUCCCCGCAAGGUCUCUAUACAGGUGGUGCAUGGUUGUCGUCAGCUCGUGUCGUGAGAUGUUGGGUUAAGUCCCGCAACGAGCGCAACCCUCGUCCUAUGUUGCCAGCACGUAAUGGUGGGAACUCAUGGGAGACUGCCGGGGUCAACUCGGAGGAAGGUGGGGAUGACGUCAAAUCAUCAUGCCCCUUAUGUCUUGGGCUUCACGCAUGCUACAAUGGCCAGUACAAAGGGCUGCGAUACCGUAAGGUGGAGCGAAUCCCAUAAAGCUGGUCUCAGUUCGGAUUGAGGUCUGCAACUCGACCUCAUGAAGUCGGAGUCGCUAGUAAUCGUAGAUCAGCAACGCUACGGUGAAUACGUUCCCGGGCCUUGUACACACCGCCCGUCAAGUCACGAAAGUCGGUAACACCCGAAGCCGGUGGCCUAACCGUAAGGAAGGAGCCGUCGAAGGUGG
rnacentral:rRNA from 1 species